AACGAACGCUGGCGGCAUGCCUAACACAUGCAAGUCGAACGAGACCUUCGGGUUUAGUGGCGCACGGGUGCGUAACGCGUGGGAACAUGCCCUUAGGUUCGGAAUAACUCCCCGAAAGGGGUGCUAAUAACGGAUAAUGUCUUCGGACCAAAGAUUUAUCGCCUUUGGAUGGGCCCGCGUUGGAUUAGCUAGUUGGUAGGGUAAAAGCCUACCAAGGCGACGAUCCAUAGCUGGUCUGAGAGGAUGAUCAGCCACACUGGGACUGAGACACGGCCCAGACUCGUACGGGAGGCAGCAGUGGGGAAUAUAGGACAGUGGGCGAAAUGCUGAUCCAGCAAUGCCGCGUGAGUGAUGUAGGCCUUAGGGUUGUAAAGCUCUUUUACCCGGGAUGAUAAUGACGGUACCGGGAGAAUAAGCACCGGCUAACUCCGUG
rnacentral:rRNA from 1 species